AUUAAACUUCCCUAUUGAUUCUGCUUAUCAGGUUGCAAAAGGUGAUCACAUGAUCUUGGGACACAUUCACUGUCAUAAGUAUGAACCAGUUGCCAAGCAUCUGAAUUUUGAUCCCGGUGGGAGCCAUGUUACCAAGGUCGCAAGUGCAAAACAAGUCACUUCUUUCAGUGCCAGGUUGUAACUUUGAACUGUCACUGAAGGAUCUGCCCGUAUGUUCAGGCAGGGCCACGAUGCUGGCAGCCUCUUGUGCCAACCCGGAGAGAGCCAGCCGCUCUCUUCUUUGCUGAAGGCCCAGCUGCAGAGCGGGGACAGCGGCUGCCCUCUUUCCGUUUCUUCGCAGAAGCCUCAUCAGGGGGAAACGGCCCGUCGCUUCCGAAAAGCGCUUUAGCACCAGCCACCCUGCACACGACGGCGGCAGCGAAGCGUAAAGGGCAAGAAAGGAGGCGAGGCGCGAAGAGACGACAGGGAGGCGACCCCACAGCUUCACUUCGCUCCCAGCUCCACUCCGGUCCCUGUCAUGGGUGUGAGGGGAGACGUACUUUCUCCGCAGGAACGCUGGUUGGGCAACACGCAUAGCCUGAGAGGCGUGGUUUGGCCUGCGCUGCGAUGGCGGGGCGGAGCGCUAAAAACAACCCCGCAGUCACUGCGGGCGGCGUUUCUCCUUCUCUGCCUUCGCCGUCUCCUCGCUUCCCGAGAUAAGAUGUGGCUGUUAAUAAUUGCAGUAAGCUUAUUCCAAGGCCUGGUAAAUUCAGCAAUGCUUGACAGAAGAAAAAGAGGUGGACCCAGAAACAUCCAUGAACAUUAGUGAAAUUAUUUUAUUCAGAGGAUAUCCCAGUGAGGAAUAUCAGGUGGUGACAGAUGAUGGAUAUUACCUAGGUAUUAAUAGAAUUCCUUAUGGGAAAAUAAGUCAGAAAACCAAGGAACCGAGACCAGCUGUGUUUCUGCAACAUGGCUUACUUGCUGAUGGCAGUACCUGGGUGACCAACCUAGACUACAACAGCCUGGGUUUCGUGCUAGCUGAUGCUGGUUUUGAUGUUUGGUUAGGGAACAGCAGAGGAAACACCUGGUCCCGAAAACACAUCAACUAUACCACAAAGCAAAAAGAAUUCUGGAUGUUCAGUUUUGAUGAAAUGGCUAAGUAUGACCUUCCUGCUUCAAUAAAUUUUGUCUUGAACAAAACUGGUCAGGAGCAACUCUUCUACGUUGGUCAUUCUCAAGGCACCACCAUAGGUUUCAUAGCAUUUUCAAUUUUUCCAGAGUUGGCAAAAAAGAUAAAAAUAUUUUUCGGAUUGGCGCCUGCUAUGACUGGUCACUUUUCAUCCGGUGGUUUGGCCAAACUUGGAGAGCUUCCUGAUUUUCUACUUAAAAAAAUAUUUGGAACCAAGCAGUUUUUACCCCAGAAUGCGCUUAUAAAAUGGCUUGCUACCCACGUGUGCGACCGUGCUUUACUUGAUGAUCUUUGUGGCAACUUUUUCUUUCUCCUGUGUGGAUUUAAUGAGAAAAACCUAAACAUGGUAAGACCAAUAGAAGUAUAUUCAACACACUGCCCAGCUGGAACAUCUGCCCAGAAUAUGCUUCAUUGGAGUCAGGUUAAAAAGUCUGGGGAAGUCAGAGCAUAUGACUGGGGAAGCAAAAAGGAAAAUAUGGCUCAUUAUAAACAGCCAACACCACCUCGCUACAAAAUGAAAGAAAUGCUUGUUCCAACAGCUAUAUGGACGGGUGGCCAUGACUGGCUGUCAGACCCAAAGGACGUUGCCAUCUUAAUGACUAUGAUCCCAAAUUUGAUAUACCACAAGGAGAUCCCAGACUGGGAACAUCUGGAUUUUAUCUGGGGCCUUGAUGCCCCACAGCGCAUGUUCAGAGAUAUGAUUCAGAUGAUGCGGAAAGUUCAAUAUACCCAUUAAUUGCUUGAAGUUGUAAUCCCAAAACACUGAUGCAGUUGUGAAAAGAAAGUCUUGCUUUUUUACCUACGUAUAGUAGUAUUCCAACACAAGCCUUCUUGCAAUACCUUAAGAAAUGGAAACUUUGCACUUGUCAUAUAGGUAUUUUUUAAUUCAUGCAGUUUUAAUGGAAAGGUAGAAAAUAGGUAAUGAAUGAAACCAAACCCCUGGCACUGCUGUUGCUCUUGCACUAUUCAGAUAAUUUUUGAAAUGAGGAGAAGGAGGGAAUGACAAUUUAUUGAACCUUUGUAAUAUCGAUACUGAGGUUGUGAAAGCUAUUUAAUAAUGAGUGUCCGUGUGUGAUUUUAUUUUGCUUAUUUUGUUGGAACAAAUUCCUUUCAAAGUGUCGGGCUCCGAACGCAACAAUAUUAACCUUGGAGCCCGCCAGCAUUGCUGACAACGAGAUCCGAUCUUCCGUGCUGUGCUGCGCCAUGACAUCAGCUGAGAGGCGGCAAACACAUAGGGAAUCCCCAAGAGGAGAUGACAUUGACAUUGUAACAACAGGGAUUCCCUGUUCAGCGAUCGGCAGCACCAGGCACUUUGGGGUUGAUUCGGCUCGUGAAAGAGAGCAUUCCUCUCACACAAACAAGGGGUGGAGAGCUGGGGAUUAGAGAGGGGUCAGAGCUAGAAAGGAUUAGAGCUGAGUAGGAAGGAUAGGGAUAGGCUCAUAUAUAAUAGUAGACAAGGGGGCUAAUUAAGGUAAUUAGAAUGGGGCAGAAUGCAGGAAGUAGCCUCGAUUAGGUUGGUGUGGUUGCACAAUAAACAGCGCUGGAAGGCAGACGUUCCCA
ensembl:lncRNA